GAGGGUAUAGCUCAGUGGUAGAGUGCAUGCAUGCUUAGCAUGCGUGAGGUCCUGGGUUCCAUCCCCAGUACCUCCA
rnacentral:tRNA from 1 species